GGCAGGUUGAAGGUUGGGUAACACUAACUGGAGGACCGAACCGACUAAUGUUGAAAAAUUAGCGGAUGACUUGUGGCUGGGGGUGAAAGGCCAAUCAAACCGGGAGAUAGCUGGUUCUCCCCGAAAGCUAUUUAGGUAGCGCCUCGUGAAUUCAUCUCCGGGGGUAGAGCACUGUUUCGGCAAGGGGGUCAUCCCGACUUACCAACCCGAUGCAAACUGCGAAUACCGGAGAAUGUUAUCACGGGAGACACACGGCGGGUGCUAACGUCCGUCGUGAAGAGGGAAACAACCCAGACCGCCAGCUAAGGUCCCAAAGUCAUGGUUAAGUGGGAAACGAUGUGGGAAGGCCCAGACAGCCAGGAUGUUGGCUUAGAAGCAGCCAUCAUUUAAAGAAAGCGUAAUAGCUCACUGGUCGAGUCGGCCUGCGCGGAAGAUGUAACGGGGCUAAACCAUGCAC
rnacentral:rRNA from 1 species